ncrna:Haemonchus contortus (barber pole worm) microRNA hco-mir-46 precursor
GGAUACGGUAGCUGAAGAGAGCCGUCCGUUGACAGUUCACUAUGGACGCUGUCAUGGAGUCGCUCUCUUCAGACUCCUAGAU